UCCCACAGUCAAAGCACUUGUGGGGUCUCUCUUCUGUGUGGACUGCCCGAUGACGAACAAGGUGUGACUUUGUUAUGAAACUUUUCCCACAAUCCAAGCAUUUGUGGGGUCUCUCUCCUGUGUGGAUUGCCUGAUGUUGAACAAGGUGUGAUCUCUGUAUGAAACUUUUCCCACAGUCCAAGCACUUAUGGGGUCUUUCUCCUGUGUGGAUUGCCUGAUG